CGUAGGGGCAAGCGUUGUUCGGAAUUACUGGGCGUAAAGGGCGCGUAGGCGGCACGGCAAGUCGGGAGUGAAAGGCCUGGGCUCAACCGAGGAAUGGCUUUCGAGACUGCCGAGCUAGAGUGCGGAAGGGGCAACUGGAAUUCCCAGUGUAGCGGUGAAAUGCGUAGAUAUUGGGAAGAACACCGGAGGCGAAGGCGGGUUGCUGGGCCGACACUGACGCUGAUGCGCGAAAGCCAGGGGAGCAAACGGGAUUAGAUACCCCGGUAGUCCUGGCCCUAAACGAUGGAUACUUGGUGUGUGGGGUUCUUCGAGUCCCCGCGUGCCGGAGCUAACGCGGUAAGUAUCCCGCCUGGGGAGUACGGUCGCAAGGCUG
rnacentral:rRNA from 1 species